ACGGUAAGGCUCCAGCUUGCUGGGGUACACGAGUGGCGAACGGGUGAGUAACACGUGGGUGACCUGCCCUGCACUUCGGGAUAAGCCUGGGAAACUGGGUCUAAUACCGGAUAGGACCGCACCGUGAGGGUGUGGUGGAAAGUUUUUCGGUGUGGGAUGGGCCCGCGGCCUAUCAGCUUGUUGGUGGGGUAAUGGCCUACCAAGGCGGCGACGGGUACCGGCCUGAGAGGGUGGACGGCCACAUUGGGACUGAGACACGGCCCAGACUCCUACGGGAGGCACAGUGGGGAAUAUUGCACAAUGGGCGGAAGCCUGAUGCAGCGACGCCGCUGGGGGAUGACGGCCUUCGGGUUGUAAACUCCUUUCACCAUCGACGAAGGGUUUCUGACGGUAGAUGGAGAAGAAGCACCGGCUAACUACGUGCCAGCAGCCGCGGUAAUACGUAGGGUGCGAGCGUUGUCCGGAAUUACUGGGCGUAAAGAGCUCGUAGGUGGUUUGUCGCGUCGUCUGUGAAAUUCCGGGGCUUAACUCCGGGCGUGCAGGCGAUACGGGCAUAACUUGAGUACUGUAGGGGAGACUGGAAUUCCUGGUGUAGCGGUGAAAUGCGCAGAUAUCAGGAGGAACACCGGUGGCGAAGGCGGGUCUCUGGGCAGUAACUGACGCUGAGGAGCGAAAGCAUGGGGAGCGAACAGGAUUAGAUACCCUGGUAGUCCAUGCCGUAAACGGUGGGCGCUAGGUGUGGGUUUCCUUCCACGGGAUCCGUGCCGUAGCUAACGCAUUAAGCGCCCCGCCUGGGGAGUACGCCGCAAGGCUA
rnacentral:rRNA from 1 species